AUGCAAGUCGUACGAGAGUUUUUAACUCAAGUGGCGGACGGGUGAGUAACACGUAAGAAUUUGCCUUUAGGAGGGGGACAACAACUGGAAACGGUUGCUAAUACCCCAUAUGCUUUCGAGUGAAAUGGAUUUAUCCGCCUAGAGAGAAGCUUGCGGCUGAUUAGCUUGUUGGUGGGGUAAUGGCCUACCAAGGCGACGAUCAGUAUCUGGUUUGAGAGGACGAUCAGACACACUGGAACUGAGACACGGUCCAGACUCCUACGGGAGGCAGCAGUGGGGAAUUUUCCGCAAUGGGCGAAAGCCUGACGGAGCAAUACCGCGUGAGGGAUGACGGCCUAUGGGUUGUAAACCUCUUUUUUCAGGGAGGAAUCAAAUGACGUGUACCUGAAGAAUAAGCAUCGGCUAACUCCGUGCCAGCAGCCGCGGUAAGACGGAGGAUGCAAGUGUUAUCCGGAAUCACUGGGCGUAAAGCGUCUGUAGGUGGUCAAAUAAGUCAACUGUUAAAUCUUGGGGCUCAACCUCAAAACCGCAGUC
rnacentral:rRNA from 1 species